UGCAUGGGGACUCUGAGGCCUACCAGAUUCCUGUGGAGAUGAGACCUCCCUUCCUGGAAAGCAGAUGAGUUUUUCAAAUCUUUACUAUUUUGCCAUCUCCAGAGAUAAUAAGGCGUUCUUACUGCUUCCGGUGUCCACAGCAGGGACCUGAACCCUGCCUGUACAGUGAAUCUCGGUUGGAGCCAGAGGACUCAUCUAUUUGUUUCUGAGCCAGAGACCCUUUUAAUCAGCCCCCUGCAUCACCAGCAUCACUGACUGGUGAUUAACCAUUGACAUGCUGCAAGUACAAGAAGUCUCACUCUGCCAGGCAAACAAAACAACCCAACCCAAGCUGUGCUUCUGGGCCAGCAAGCCAAGGCUGUUGGCUGCAUGCCCACAGGAUCUCAUGGGACGGUUUGAGAGAAUGUGGUAUUCCGGUAACAGCCAUACUGAGGCUGGGCUUUGUGGUACUGAGCAGCCCCAGAGAAACGUUGGCUUGUUCCAUGGUCCAGGGUCACCUCAGCCUCUGCUAACAAUCCUGGUGUGCCCACCAUCGUGGCCCGAAUCCGCCCCUAAUGUCCAAUUCUGAACAUACAUCACCAAUGCACCCCACACCAGAUCCCCAAGGCCUCCCUCCCUACUAUCUCCCCAAGGAGAAGAGCUGCUUGGACAAGUUCCAGAAAAUCUCGCUGUGUUCAUGCCUCAUUCCAGCAUGACAGAUAGCAAAUGCCUAUGUGCAAUCCGUCAUGUCUGUGAUGGGAACAACCAACAUGUCCUCUCUCCUGUGAAUCCCAGCCUCAUUAUUGAUAAUAUACAUGCAAGAGUUUACAUGUCACAUGCCCAGUACCAUAAUGUAAGACAUUCUCCAGUAAGGAGGUGACCACUCUUUGCUAGGUCACCCUUCUGGAGUUUUCUUGGCUCCCCUUCUCUACACCAUCACAUCCUGCAGACUCUAUAUAGAGAGUGCACUCCAAACCUGAACACUUCUUACUUUCACCCCUCAGGGCAAGUGCUGCCCUCAUUAAUGCCUUCCUAACCUUUCUUCUCCUGCCCUAGUGCUGACCCAGACAUCUUGUCUUCCCUGUCUCGUUGCUAGUGUCAGUGGCUGACUACUGACUCAUUGCACUGUGUAAAAAAUUUCUCCACAGUGGAAGCACAUGGUCUUACCGCAUUGUCUUGCCACUGCCUUGCUGGCUGGAGAUAAGACAGUGCUAACUAAACACCUGUCAAGUGAAGAGACGAAGCCCUCAUAAUUUGUUCAUGUGGUACGGGUCUGUGUGACACAUGAGCCUGUUUUCCAUUCUCAGCAUGAAGGAUGGACUAGGAGAAAACAGGCUUACACCUCAGAGGAGCCACUGUCUGUGAAGCUGGGCCAUUGAAGUCAGCCAGUGUGGGGCAGAGUGGGAAUGACAGAGAGGGGGAAGAAAACCAGGGAGAGACAUGAAAGGUCCCAGGUAGGAAGGCCUUCCAAAGCAGGACCAGCAGGCAUCCGGUUCCCAUCAGCCAAGUGUGAGUGAGAUCCACACUGUCAAUACCCCCAGACUUGCCUCUCCUAAGGACUCCAUGCCAUCCUCAGAAUGUCAUUCAGG
ensembl:lncRNA